rnacentral:rRNA from 1 species
UACGUAGGAGGCGAGCGUUAUCCGGAUUCACUGGGCGUAAAGCGCGCGUAGGCGGUUGGUUAAGUCUGACGUGAAAGCCCCUGGCUCAACUGGGGGAGGCCGUUGGAUACUGGCCGGCUUGAGGAUGAGAGAGGGGAGUGGAAUUCCCGGUGUAGCGGUGGAAUGCGUAGAGAUCGGGAGGAACACCAGUGGCGAAAGCGGCUCCCUGGCUCACCCCUGACGCUGAGAGCGCGAAAGCGUGGGGA